UACGAAGGGGGCUAGCGUUGUUCGGAAUUACUGGGCGUAAAGCGCACGUAGGCGGAUAUUUGAGUCAGGGGUGAAAUCCCAGAGCUCAACUCUGGAACUGCCUUUGAUACUGGGUAUCUUGAGUAUGGAAGAGGUAAGUGGAAUUGCGAGUGUAGAGGUGAAAUUCGUAGAUAUUCGCAGGAACACCAGUGGCGAAGGCGGCUUACUGGUCCAUAACUGACGCUGAGGUGCGAAAGCGUGGGGAGCAAACAGG
rnacentral:rRNA from 1 species